AUCUGUCCUGACACGGUAACAGAUGUUGAGAAAGUGAGAGGACAGUUCAUUAUCUUAUUUCUUGGAGAAAGCUGCAUGCUGCUGAUCAGUUUAAGAACAAGAAAUGCUCUUGUUUAUUCUCAGCUCAGGUGCUCUUUGCAACUACAGAGACAGGAACCAAGCAAAUGGAAGGUCUCCAUCUUUUCUUUCCUUUUUUUUUUUUUUGGUACUGGGAAUUGAACUCAUGACCUCAGGCUUGCCACAUGAGCAUUUAUACCACUGAGCUUUAUCUCUGGGCCCCAUCUUGAUAUUCAUAAUAGCAUGAUAAAGCUAAAAACUGCAAUGAGAAUUUUUAUUUCAAACAAUGUGGAGUUACUACACCAUACAUAUGAGGGUAAAUCUUGUAGCAAGGAAACCAGCCAUUCCACUCCAGAGCCAAAAUCUGACAACUGUUGAGGACACAAAGACUGGUGCAAAUCCAUCUCAGCCUAGGAACUACAGCCAAAAGGGGUUCCCAGCUCCAGGAAGUUUGCUGUGGUGAUGCGAUUUCAUUGCUUCCCACGGCCCAGAGACCAGAGUGCAAGAGAGAGACAAUGUGAGACUUCAUCGGGUCAAUUUUCUUGAAGAGAAGAUGGACACAUAUUAGUCAAUUCAACUAGAACUUCUAUCAACUGACAAAUCCAGUUUCAUCGCUAGCAAUUUCUUCUUAAAUCAGGUCUGGAACAGUUAUUUCCAGGUAUGGUUUCCAGACUUUUUGACCCACAUUCUGAAAAUCACUAGAGAUGUUUAAGCCUAGCCCCAACUUCCUGAUAGACAGGCAAAAUUUGAGGUGAUUCUUCUCAGUGAUUAGAGCACUUUUGGAGCAGGCAGCACAUUUCUUCCUAACUUGCUUGAAUAUAACAUCUGCACUUCUGUCUCUGAUAUGAACAUCACUACUCUUUCCAUUUCAUGAGAAUUAGCCUGCAUGCCUGCAUGCCUAACUCCAAGUGUGAUGUCUCUCAAAAAUACUUAUUUGUGAAUUUGGCUAAAUGUACAUGUUUUAAACAAAGCCAUUACUUAUUCUUCUACCCAAACAAGUACUACAAUGUGUGUAUUGUAACGAGCAGCAACAAAGUUAUUGUAUCAGUUUCUCUUAUUCUGAAA